UACGUAGGGUGCGAGCGUUGUCCGGAAUUACUGGGCGUAAAGAGCUCGUAGGUGGUUGUCGCGUUGUUCGUGAAAACUCACAGCUUAACUGUGGGCGUGCGGGCGAUACGGGCAGACUGGAGUACUGCAGGGGAGACUGGAAUUCCUGGUGUAGCGGUGGAAUGCGCAGAUAUCAGGAGGAACACCGGUGGCGAAGGCGGGUCUCUGGGCAGUAACUGACGCUGAGGAGCGAAAGCGUGGGGAGCGAACAGG
rnacentral:rRNA from 1 species